rnacentral:rRNA from 1 species
AAGUUUUGUGAACCUUAACACUUAGAGGAAGGAGAAAAGUCGUACAAGGUUUCCGUAGGUGAACCUGCGGAAGGAUCAUUC